CUUUACUGAACGAGACUGAAAUAGUUUUAGCUACUCCAGGGUGAUUUGAGGGGGCGGUAGUACUUUGGAUGCCUAAAGCGACUUUGAGGAGACUGCAAGUCAAUUCCAACUGAUAGAGGGACCGACGAGAGUUUGAAUGGGGAAUAAAUCAGUUUCACAGGAUCUUACCACCAGAGGGCGCUCCUUCUCUGGAUAAUAUGGAGCUGUGAUCAACAUGUAUCAGGCUGAUUUUCAGACAGCGGUUUAAAAACAAGAACAAUGAAUGUGGAGUUCUGUCAGUUCUAGGUCUUGUUCAACAAUUGACAGGGUUUUAGGUAAUU